rnacentral:snRNA from 1 species
GUGCUCGCUUCGGCAGCACAUAUACUAAAGUUGGAACGGUACAGAGAAGAUUAGCAUGGCCCCUGCACAAGGAUGACACGUAAAUUCGUGAAGUGUUCCAAAUUUUU